UAUUGUUGUGGUAAGUCAGAGAAAUGCAUUUUUUAAAAGUAAUUUACUUUUUAUAAGCUUUAAACCCAUUAGUAAUUAAGUUGUCAAUGUUUCUACAGCGGAUUUACACUAAAACACGAAAGAGCCUGAACCACGAUUGUGUCACAAGUUGCCUUACAUCACAAACAAAAAGAUGCAAGACUGCAAACUUUCCAGUACUCCUGUGAACUGAUAAUCCGGUUUCCACCCAGUCCCAGGAGAUUAUAUUAAACCUGGAAAAUAUUGGAGAAGAUCAAUUAAGUUUUCAGGAGCACAUUACUGUGAUAAAUGCUGAACUAUGUAAAAGACAACCUGACUACACCAACAUAUCAAAAAUCCAAUGAGAUGCGCUCUUUUUAAAAGAGUUGAUUUAAUGACAAAAUCAACAUGAGAGGUCAUGGACAUGUUCCCAUUUCUUCGGGUUCCACAA